ACUUGUCCUUGGUAGAAUCCUGAGGUUUCCUUGGUGCUGCCAGCGAACAAAUACAAAUUUGAAUCACUACAAGUAACCUGAGUCCAGUGAGCAGGACAGGAUGUUUAACCUGCUCCACUGUAAUAUGGAUUACUGUUACUUUCCCUUGACCCUGCCUCGACCAUGUCAGCUUUAGGAAUUUGGAAGCAUUAAUCUCUUCUAUUCACAUCAGCUUACCUGAAUGGCCUUCAAAAGAAGUACUUAUAUAAAGCAUGCAGGUACAGAAGGAUAAAACAUAUGACUGAGGACUAGAGGCAGGAGAUUUGACUGGAACAGAAGUCAAAGGGCUCACAUCUUGAACAAAAGGAACGAAACAGAAAGAGUGAACUAGAAAUGAGACAUACCUGAAAGGAAUGUAAGAAGGCUAUCGCCACACAAUUGGCAACCAAAGCACAAAAUCUAGAACCAGAACAAAAUAAAUCUAGGCUUAUGGAGGUCAUUUGGCAUUGCAAUUAAGUAGGUGGACUUUAUUUAUUGUUUGAAUUUGCUGUGGAAAGAACUUCCAGGACAUUUGGAAUUUGCAGCACAAGCAAUGUUAUGUUCUUCAACGUUCAGUGCUAACCAGUAAUGGACUCACACUUUCAGUUCCUCUGAUUGAUUUUCUCUCAGUAUUUGACUAUGCUCCAUUAAAAGAUUUUCUUUAUGCCCCGAUGUUUGAGCACUGAAGAUGGAAAACUUACCUGAACUUUAUAGCGACUGCCAGUAUAAUAUGCAUGGUAAGUUGCAAUUUCACUUUUGACAUUUUUGCUUGUUUUCAAUGGAGCAUUUUUUUGGAAUAUUGAAAAAAAAGUAUUUCCUAAAUUAAAUGCAAACAUACAUUCAAAGUCUGUUCUAAAAGUGCAGAGAAAACAUCAGAGGACAGAGGUAGAUCUUCCUGCGGAGCUAAAGAAACACAGGCAGGAGCACAGCCUUCCAGCCUGACCUGGUGGGCAGAAGGGAUACAAGCAGUAGGCUCCUACAGUCUAUGCAUACUUGCAAACCCAAGUCCAUUAUUAAGAAAACCAAGCAAUUGCCAGCCUGAAGGAGCUAACAUGGAGGGGAAAUAGAAUAAAGAUUCAAACAACUGUUAUGUUUCAAUGGAUUCUGGCUAUUGGUAGAAUUUGACAAAUGGAAGUCCCACUGUCUUAAUGGUACAUAAACAUCUGAGCCCACCAAGCUUCAACAGAGAGCCCUAAAAGCACAGUCAUCAUGGUAGUCCAUGGGAAGAUCUACCUCACUGCUACUCUCUGCCAUAUCCACUUCCUUUCUGUCUCCCUUCAUUAAAAAAGCGGGCCACCAAACUCGACAAAACAAAAUAAAAUCAGCAAGACAAAAUCUCUCAUAUUGUGGCUGGGCAAGGCAAUCCAAUAGAGGAAAAGGGUCCCAAGUGUGAGGAAAAAAAAUCAGAGACAGACCAGCUUUCGGAGGUCUCACAAAAUCACCAUGCUAACAGAAGGACCAUAAGGAUGUCAGCAAGCCUGUCUUCACCAAGCACGUGAUUUUGUGAUGAAAACCUGAGAACAAAAUAUGAAAUAUAUCUCAUUUUGGAGAGAGACAAUAAAGUUAUCUCUCUUUCUAAUGCA